rnacentral:rRNA from 1 species
AACGAACGCUGGCGGCGCGCCUAACACAUGCAAGUCGAACGAGAAGGCGUAGCAAUACGCUUGUAGAGUGGCGAACGGGUGAGUAAUACGUGGGUGACCUACCCUCGAGUGGGGAAUAACCCGCCGAAAGGCGGGCUAAUGCCGCGUACGCUUCCGUCUUCACGGGGACGGAAGGAAAGCUGCACCGUGGGUACGGCGCUCAAGGAUGGGCUCACGUCCUAUCAGCUUGUUGGUAGGGUAACGGCCUACCAAGGCUACGACGGGUAGCUGGUCUGAGAGGACGAUCAGCCACACUGGCACUGCGACACGGGCCAGACUCCUACGGGAGGCAGCAGUGAGGAAUAUUGCGCAAUGGGCGAAAGCCUGACGCAGCGACGCCGCGU